rnacentral:rRNA from 1 species
GACGAACGCUGGCGGCGUGGAUUAGGCAUGCAAGUCGAACGGUAGGAUACCUUCGGGUAUCUGAGAGUGGCGAACGGGUGAGUAACACGUAGGUGAUCUACCCUCAAGAUUGGGACAACCCAGGGAAACUUGGGCUAAUACCGGAUGAAAGCAGCAGUGAUGUUGUUUGAAAGGUGGCGUAAGCUGCCGUUUGGGGAUGAGCCUGCGCUCUAUUAGUUAGUUGGCGGGGUAAAGGCCCACCAAGGCGAUGAUAGAUAGGCGGCCUUAACGGGUGGUCGCCCACACUGGGGAUUGAGAUACGGCCCAGACUCCUACGGGAGGCAGCAGUCGAGAAUAGUCUACAAUGGCCGAAAGGCUGAUAGUGCGACGCCGCGUGAACGAGAAGCCCUUCGGGGUGUAAAGUUCUUUUAUAUGUGAGCAGUGCUUUCUAUGUGAACAGCAUGGGGAAGAGAUAUUAGCAUAUGAAUAAGCAACGGCUAACUCCGUGCCCAGCA